UAAAGCUAUCCAAUUUCAACAGUUAAAAUAAGUAUUACCUAUCUUAGUAAUACAUAUUAAAAACCAUCAAAAAUAAAUAAGCGGCCUUAUUACAUUUAAAAGCCCAAAACCUCAAACGUAAUUAAAAGGAUGUCCAGUUCACCAGAAGAAAAUCAAACUUUCAGAAUGGGUGGCCACUCCGAAUUCCCUCACAGCUCCAAGCCCACUAUGGUUGGGGAUUACCUGCGUGGAUGAAAAUAAAAGGGAUGAGUUUGGGGAAACUCAGUGUGUAAAAUAACCCAACCAUAGUCUAAAUCAGCUCAAACCACAGAAAUAAAAUAAGUUGGCCUUAACCCAGAACAGAAUUCAGAAUAAAGCCCAUAGGCCCAUAACAGAACAGAACAGAUAUUACAUGUUUAUGCAGAAACCCAACCAUAUCCAACCGUAUACACCCCCGUACCAACCUUACACCGUGUGGGGAGACAACUCGACCCACCCAACCGCUACACACCACAGAAUUUGCAGCAUGGCUGCCAGAACAGAUAAUGUGACAGAGUCACCAGAUACAGAUAAUCGUGGCAGAGCCACCAGAACAGAUAUAUGUGGCAGAGCCACCAGAUCAGAUAUUUGUGGCAUAGCCACCAGAACGCUUCCUCCAUAAUAUAACCCAUGUCCCCAUGCAACAAAUAUAUAAUCAUGGCAUCCAUCAUACAGAAUUAGAUCGCUAUGCUUUUCAGUCAAAAUUAACCCUACGGGUAUAACGGUAAUUUUGCACCUAGGGGUAUAAUAGUAAUUUUCCAUACAUAGGGGUAUUAUAGUAAUUUAGCUACUUUCAGGGUUUUCAUGCAUAUCCUAACUAUUUACGUACUAUCAGAACACUUACCGCGCAUACUUACCGAAUUGGGCCCAUUGGCCCAUGAACCCGAUCUUUGGCCCAUUAAGCCCAAAUUAUCAAAAUGUACGAAAUCGCGCGUACUGCAGUUUAUUACUUUAGAUUACCAAAUAUACAAACCCAACUAUUUUACGAGCAUUCGCACACUCGCAAAUUCCCAAAAUACCGACUUUUCGGCAUUUCGGCUUUUCGGCUUUUGCCAAUCUAGUCUAUGAGAGGGUGUCAGUUACACACCUAUUUGCGACGAUAUGCUGACGAGAUCCUCACACGAACCGCCUACAAUUGGAUUACUAACGUAUUAACCCCUUAAAAUAUUCGGCCAACCACACCUACAGAUCAUAGUAAGCUUAUAAGAAAUCAAUAAGCAACUCAUUAACAAAUUUUUGUCAAUGUUUACCACAUAAUCAUAAUUUCACUGCAAGCUGUCUUCCUGAGCAAUAGUCACUAAAUCAUUUAUAAUUGGAGCUACCAAACUCCAAAUCAAGUUCCGUUAAUUUUCCCUGAAAAUAGACUCAUAUAUCUUUUAUCCAUAAAAUUUUCAGAAUUUUUGGUAUGGCCAAUCAAUACCAGAUUUUUCUUAAAGUUUCCCAUGUUUCACUGUUUGACUAAUCUGACCACUCUUCAUUACAAAUCAAAUUUCUCAUUGUACAGAAUUCAAAAUAUGUUCUCGUUUAUUCAAUUUGAAACUAGACUCAUUAAGCUUUAAUUACAUAAUUUAUUCAGCUUCUAAUUCUUCUCCCACAAUUUAUGGUGAUUUUCCAAAGUCACGUUACUGCUGCUGUCCCAAGCAGAUUUAUCACCAAAUCACUCUUUCACACCUAACUUGCAUGCUUAUUAUUUAAACAUGUAUAUCACCAAUCAAUCAUCACAUAUCUAUGAUUUUACUUAAGUAUAAUCUCCAUUUCAUCAUUUUAAAGCACAACAUGUUAGCUGAUUUUUCCCUUUAACAUCUAAGGCACAUGCAUGCUUAUUUGUUUGGCUCAACUUCACCUAUCUUCCAUUUUUCAUCAAAAGAACAUGAAACAACAACCAUUUUCUUCAUUUUAAUUCAUGACUAAAUGCUCACAACACAACUAAAAAUCAAAAUAUACUUCAAGAGUUAAGGUAGAAUCAAGAAGAACUCAUGAACCUCAAAAUAGAAGCAAGGUACCAAGAACUUACCUUCAAUUUUCCUCCUCCUAAUGACCAAAUACUCAAGAGCUUUCUCCUCUCCUUUCUCUUCUCUAACUUUCAGCUAUGAUGAACAAAGAUGGACAAAACUUUGUUCUUU
rnacentral:lncRNA from 1 species